UAAAUAAUAAUUGUGAAAAUAAUUGAUUAUUAUAUUCAUUAUUAAAUAUUAUUUUAUUUUGUUUAA
rnacentral:tRNA from 1 species